UGGGGAAUUUUGGACAAUGGGCGAAAGCCUGAUCCAGCCAUGCCGCGUGAGUGAAGAAGGCCUUCGGGUUGUAAAGCUCUUUUAGUCGGAAAGAAAAGAUCAUAAUGAACAAUUAUGAUUCAUGACGGUACCGACAGAAAAGGCACCGGCUAACUACGUGCCAGCAGCCGCGGUAAUACGCAGGGUGCGAGCGUUAAUCGGAAUUACUGGGCGUAAAGGGUGCGCAGGCGGUUUUGUAAGUCAGAUGUGUAAUCCCCGGGCUUAACCUGGGAAUUGCGUUUGAAACUGCAAGACUAGAGUGCAGCAGAGGGGAGUGGAAUUCCAUGUGUAGCAGUGAAAUGCGUAGAGAUGUGGAAGAACACCGAUGGCGAAGGCAGCUCCCUGGGUUGACACUGACGCUCAUGCACGAAAGCGUGGGGAGCAAACA
rnacentral:rRNA from 1 species